AUUUUAAUUUUUGGCUCCAAAUUGGAAAUACGAAUUUGGAUUGGCAUAAAAAUUUAAUAUUUCCAAUUAGAAAUGCGAAGUUGGCUUAAAAUAAAAAUUUAAUUUUUCAAAUUGGAAAUGGAGUAAUGGAUAAUUUGAAUUUCACAAUACGAAUAUGUACAAAAAAUUUGGUUUAAAAUUGCGUGCCUAAAUUGCAGCAUUGGCAUCCAAGUUAUGUAUGUGUAACCUUUUGACCUGUACAACACUUGAGUCCGUGCUGGAUGGAUAGUGUUAACGAAUAAUUGGAAACAGGCUAGGUGGAUCCAGCCGACAAUGCAUAUCACAUUUUUAAUGAUUCACAAUACGUCUCAUUUAAUGAAGAUAAUAGAGAAUGUGAUCAAGUAAAAUAACAGGAGAGGUGCUUACAGCAAUGUUCUAGAUUCCUGCAAGAAAAGUAAUUGGAUGAUUUCCCAAGCAAAAAUUUUCGGUAGCUGCCGCGAUAUUUUAUAAAAGAGACUGAUAUUGAAAUCUGGAAAAGUUCAGAGUUACUCUAUAAAAAUGAAAUCUUGUUGUUUUCAUAACAAAAGCACUUCAAAGUAAUUAUGACUAAGUAUGAUUAUCAGCUGAGAAGCAAUAUACAUCCAGGACUCGUAGAAACUACAUUUUAAUUUGCUAUAUCAAGUCAAGACAGGCAAAAAAAAAUUAAAGGCAAUAUUGGUCUAAUAACUCGUUUCAGAUUGUGAUAUUGAGGAUAAAAUGGAAUUCCUUUGUUUGGUGUUUAAAUUCUGAUUGAUUUACUAGAUGUCGACUUCAAAAUAUUUUGGUAAAUUUAUGGGAAAUUUCAUCCGAAAAAAAUCAGUUUUAUGCAUUGCGGCUAUAUGUUCAGCAUUGUAAGAAGACUUUGGACUUUUUCAAAAUGGAAUUUCAACACCUAAAAUUUUUAAAUAUAUCAUAGGUAUGUGAGUUUUGACGUAGGGGAAGAAUAUCUUAUCAAUAUGGUUGGCACGAUUGGAAUUCUUAACGAAGACUUCCUAGAGGCCUUGUUGCAGAACAGUCAGAUUUUUUCUUCGUAUUCAAGAGGAAAUAAUGGAACGCAUCUACAAUCGGCGAGAUAGGAAAACUCGCCCUGGAUAGGAUGGCGCAUGCCUUACGCUGACUGCCUUAAAGCGGAAAUCAGAAAAGGGGAGAAAGGCACCUUUGUUGAGAAAUCGGCCGAGAGUGUCCUGGAGGUUAGAACUCCAAGCUGCGCGCUGACCAUGAGGCAAUGUUUGCAGCUCAUUUGGAUCAAUGGAGUUUUAGGGACUAAAAACAAUCCUCGAGUGCUUUUUUACAUUCUGAAAUUUUGAGUAUAACAGUAUUUCUGUAUCAGAUAAUAAGAUUUUUCAUUGGAAAUUAUUUGGGAAACUGCUUUAUUGUGAAAUGUUUAAUGAUUCUGUGUUGUAUCAACAUUAAAUCCUUCAUUUUAAAAUUAAUGUGUAUGAUGGCAAAGAGCGAAGCCGUUAAAGCAAAAGUAUUCCGCAAAUAAUGGAGUUUACUAGCCACGUUUUUUUUUAGUAUGUUAAGUAAGAAAAAUGAGAGAGAAUCAAAAAGCAAACAAUAUAGCAGAUAUGACAAAACAGUGAACAUUCAUAAUAUUGAAAUAUAGAUUGACACAACUCUAUAUACUUGCAUUAAACUGUAGCUUGUAGGUUCUUCAAUCGACGACUGACACAUACAGCUAGACUCAGUAUGACGGGCAGUCAAUAUGAGCUAUGGCAAUCACAAUUUAGGGACUUCAUUUUCCUGGUUUUCUUUAACUACAAAAUCAUAAGAUGCAAUUCAACAGUUUAACGGAAUAUUUUCUAAAAGUGUUUUUCCACUGGUGUACUAUUUUCUGUGAAACUGUUGUAGUGAAGCGGAAUUAAAUUUGUAAUAUCUGAAGGGACGGAAACAAACGUUGAUUAAUCAUUUAAAUUUUUCUUUUUGGUUCAAGCAAACUGUCCAAUAUACGUUACCAACAAGGUAUAUGGACCCGAGGUGUUUUCAAGCUCACUGCCAUAAAUUUUGAAAAAAAAAAACUUGAAUAUAUAGUUUUUCUUUUGUAAAUCCAGCGUUAUAAGAUAUCACGGCAAACAUUAUUAAGGUUCUUCGAUUUAAAAUAGGGGAAAAAUUGUUCAAAAGGAAUUCAAUUUUAAAUAUGAUUCAAGGUUAUGAUUAAUUAGCUUAGUUAUAUGAUUAAUUAGCUCAGAUGAAUGGU